rnacentral:rRNA from 1 species
GACGAACGCUGGCGGCGUGCUUAACACAUGCAAGUCGAACGGAAAGGCCCUGCUUUUGUGGGGUGCUCGAGUGGCGAACGGGUGAGUAACAAGUGAGUAACCUGCCCUUGACUUUGGGAUAACUUCAGGAAACUGGGGCUAAUACCGGAUAGGAGCUCCUGCUGCAUGGUGGGGGUUGGAAAGUUUCGGCGGUUGGGGAUGGACUCGCGGCUUAUCAGCUUGUUGGUGGGGUAGUGGCUUACCAAGGCUUUGACGGGUAGCCGGCCUGAGAGGGUGACCGGCCAGAUUGGGAGUGAGAUACGGCCCAGACUCCUACGGGAGGCAGCAGUGGGGAAUAUUGCACAAUGGGCGGAAGCCUGAUGCAGCAACGCCGCGUGCGGGAUGACGGCCUUCGGGUUGUAAACCGCUUUCGCCUGUGACGAAGCGUGAGUGACGGUAAUGGGUAAAGAAGCACCGGCGAACUACGU